UACACUUCAGAAAUGUACCGUACACUAGGUAGCAUCUGAGGAGAUGAAGGUCUAACUGGGUCGUACAUUAAACCGUAUCUGAGCAGAAUGAGCCGUCCAUUAGGCUGAAUCUGACGAUGAAAGGGCUAGUCGUAUGCUAGACUACACUUCAGAAAUGUACCGUACACUAGGUAGCAUCUGAGUGGAUGAAGGUCUAACUGGGUCGUACAUUAAACCGUAUCUGAG
rnacentral:lncRNA from 1 species